CUGAAAUUGAUCAUGAAUGACUUUUCCAAUGAUGGCAGUUAUGAGGUUACCAUCUUUUUUGAGAGCUGGGAUACAUGAUUUGUCUGUUCUUAUUGAUUUUAUAAACUGGAAGAGUUUUUAGACUAUAGUCCAGUCAAAAUUUUGAUGGGACAUAUUAUAGUAUACAAAUGUCCAGUCGCCCGCCUUCUGACUGACUGUCUGUCUGUCUGAAAUUAUACCACAAGUUUUUCGUACCGCAAAGGGAUAGGAUUGGUUAUGGGGGUUAUGGCUCAAACCAUCUAGGAAUUGGGGGCAAAAAAGGGGGAAAACAAGGGUUUCCUGGUUAAUGGACAAUAAAGACAUUUUUAAAGCAGUGUAAGGGAGUUAAUCCAAUCAAUUUGCAACAGC
rnacentral:lncRNA from 1 species